rnacentral:rRNA from 1 species
CAGCCGCCGCGGGAAUACAGAGGCCUCAAGCGUUGUUCGGAUUCAUUGGGCGUAAAGGGUGCGUAGGUGGCUUGGUAAGUUGAAGGUGAAAUCUCGGGGCUUAACCCCGAAACUGCCUUCAAUACUGCUAGGCUCGAGGACUGUAGAGGAGAAUGGAAUUCACGGUGUAGCAGUGAAAUGCGUAGAUAUCGUGAGGAAGACCAGUGGCGAAGGCGAUUCUCUGGGCAGUUCCUGACACUGAGGCACGAAGGCCAGGGGAGCAAACGGGAUUAGAUACCCCCGUAGUCCCUGUCUCUUAUAA